CCUGACUGCUAUCGGAUUGAUACUAAGCCAUGCGAGUCUUUGUAGUAAUACAAGGCAGACGGCUCAGUAACACGUAGUCAACCUACCCUAUGGACGAGAAUAAUCUCGGAAAACUGAGCAUAAUUCUCGAUAGAUCAUAAUGCCUGGAAUGGUUUAUGGUUAAAAUGAUUCGUCGCCAUAGGAUGAGACUGCGGCCUAUCAGCUUGUUGGUGAGGUAAUGGCCCACCAAGGCGAUUACAGGUACGGGCUCUGAGAGGAGAAGCCCGGAGAUGGGUACUGAGACAAGGACCCAGGCCCUAUGGGGCGCAGCAGGCGAGAAAACUUUGCAAUGUGCGAAAGCACGACAAGGUUAGUCCGAGUGAUUUCUGCUAAAGAGAUCUUUUGCUAGUCAUAAAACCGCUAGUGAAUAAGGGGUGGGCAAGUUCUGGUGUCAGCCGCCGCGGUAAAACCAGCACCUCAAGUGGUCAGGAUGAUUAUUGGGCCUAAAGCAUCCGUAGCCGGCUCUGUAAGUUUUCGGUUAAAUCUAUGCGCUCAACGUAUGGGCUGCCGAAAAUACUGCAGAGAUAGGGAGUGGGAGAGGUAGACGGUACUCGGUAGGAAGGGGUAAAAUCCUUUGAUCUAUCGAUGACCACCUGUGGCGAAGGCGGUCUACCAGAACACGUUCGACGGUGAGGGAUGAAAGCUGGGGGAGCAAACCGGAUUAGAUACCCAGGUAGUCCCAGCUGUAAACGAUGCAGACUCGAUGAUGCAUUGGCAUAUAGCCAGUGCAGUGUCGCAGGGAAGCCGUUAAGUCUGCCGCCUGGGAAGUACGUACGCAAGUAUGAAACUUAAAGGAAUUGGCGGGGGAGCACCACAAGGGGUGAAGCCUGCGGUUC
rnacentral:rRNA from 1 species